rnacentral:rRNA from 1 species
UACGGAGGGUGCAAGCGUUGUCCGGAUUUAUUGGGUUUAAAGGGUGCGUAGGCGGUCUAUUAAGUCAGUGGUGAAAUACUCCAGCUUAACUGGAGGGGUGCCAUUGAUACUGAUGGACUUGAGUCAAGUCGAGGUAGGCGGAAUUGACGGUGUAGCGGUGAAAUGCUUAGAUAUCGUCAAGAACACCAAUAGUGAAGACAGCUUACUGGGCUUAAACUGACGCUGAGGCACGAAAGUGUGGGGAUCAAACAGG